rnacentral:lncRNA from 1 species
GCAGCUACGUCUCCGGGCAAACUUCAAUCCCAGUGCGCGCCAGAGCAGAUCUCGCCUGCUGCUCCAGGACCCAGGGUGCCUACAUGCUUCUGUGAUGUGGUUCCAGAUGUUAGCAUACUCACUUCCAACAUGGAUAGAGGAAAGCCAAUGAAGGAUCUCACAGGAAACUCGAGGAGCCUAGAAGGCCAUUAUUCAGCACCAUGAGGAUUACUUGAACACAGGCACUGUAGUGCUGCAACAGUCAUCUGAGACACCACUCAGUGACCAACAGUGAGUGGCAGCAUAUACGGUGUAGAUACGUCUUGUAAACAGGUGGUUCAUCCAGGACAGAGUGAUUUCAUCACACUAUCAGAAUGAUGCACAGCUGAAAUGUAUGGGUUGUUUGUUUCUGGGAUUAUGUAUUUAAUAUUUUCAGACUGCAGUUAACUGUGGGUAACUGAAACCACAGAAAGUAAAAUUGUGGGUAAGGGGAGGUAACUGUAUGGUUUGUGGAUUGUAGUUAAGGUAGAAAUAUGUAGAAUUAACUAAAGACAACAGAGCCAACAAUGCCUUCUCUAUGCCGGCAGAUCAUAGAGUGCUGUAAGAAUAAGAAAAUAAAAUCAGAGGGAGUGUCUGUGUGAAAAGAUAGAAAAGAAUAAAAUGGAAAAGGCAUAAUUUGUACCACUUAAAUCUGUGCCUUUAUCUUUUACCUUCUGAUUGUGACCGUAAGUGAUAAAUCAAGAUAAUAAAAGCUGAUAAAUGUGUUGCCUUUAUCUUUCCCACUGGAGAGGUGAAGGAAGAUGGAAGAACACAUGCAAAACAAC